GGAGAACACUAUCAUCUGGAUGUUGCCAGCAUUCCUGGGACAGUCUUUCAGAUUUCCAAGACCCAGAGUAUAAGUUUGCUGAGACUUUUCAACCUUUGCAUGUUCUUUGAAGCCAAACAACCUGCUGAUUCCUUGAAAAGAGCAGGACUUUCCAGAGCCUUAAAUAUUGUGAUUUGUGAAUUUUCAAGAAGUAAUUACAGUGCGUUAAAGAAAAGGAGUUAUAACUACAAAUUGUAACACAUGCUAUGAAGACUGAUGGUAGAGAAGGAGUGGGGGAACCUACGGCAGAAGACAGUCACGAUGGGCCCCCUUUGUGGGUGGUAUUUUCACCAGCAUGAAGAAUCAGCCUUUCGAAGUCAGGUGGAGGAAAGAGAAGAGGGAGACUGAGGGAGCAGCGUGUGGGGCGGGCCCGGAGGCAGGCAAGAGCUCGGGGCAGUUGUGGAGUGAAAGUCAUCAGUGGGAUGGAGGAGGAGGCUUGUUGAGAUUCUAUCCAAAGUACAACAGGAUGCCAAGGAGAGUUUACCCCAGACACUGUGGGUUGUACUGUUGCCCUCCCUCCCUUCAUGCCCAGUGUCUCAUAAACCUCACUGGGGCCUGAGGAAGAGGCGUUAUCCUACGCCUCAAAGGGCCCAAGUCCAGAGUGGCGGAUAAACAUGUAAAGGGGCAAUUCAGUGUGCUGAGAGCAUUGUGGAGGUUAAAAUAAAUGCCAUGGGAGCACAAGUUAGGGACACAAACCCUGCUUAGGGGAAGGGUCCUUCCAGAAGCACAGGUCUGGCUCAUUGAGACCACUGUCCACAGCACACUGAAUGAUUUGUAACCCAGCUGCCCUCUGCUACUCAGCACAUUUCUGCUGUCAUACUGCAAAGGGGUAAUGUAUAUCCAAUGUCAAUAAAAGUGAAACAUAAAGGAAAAAUUAACUUUCUUCCUGCCAUCCCUUCAGAUCCAACCUGCCCCCUGCUGCCACAGCCACUGUGAUCUUUGCACAGCAAUGUGUGAGCAUGUCACUCCCUGAGAAGAGCCUUUGUCUAUAGGAUUAUAUCCAGAGUCCUUAGAAUGGCAAAGGAAGUCCUUACCUGUCCAGCCUCCACCCCUCCACUUUCCCAAGUGCAUCAUUCUCUGUCACAGCUGGGGACUCCUCUCUGUUCCCUGAACACAUCAUGCCCUUUCUGGCCUCCACAUCUUUCCCUUGCAUAUGCCGCUCCCCUCCCUGGGAUGUUCUUUCACUUCCUGCUCACUAACAAGGAUGUGUACCUCAUCCAUGAAA